AUAUGUAAUGCUUAAUAAAGCAAAUGAAACUAAUGUAAUCUACUCUAUAGCUCACAUACAAAUUAAAUUAAUUGCAAUGUCAUCUAUUACCUUGCACCAUUAUGAUGGUUUGCUUCUAAUUACGUACAGACAUGUUGUGUGCUAUCUCAUAGCAAGUAGAUCAAUUUUUGCAGUUUGGUUAGGAGUGCUUUUGAAUUGGUUGCUGCUAGAUAAUUAAGUUUUAGCAUGGCCUAUUGAUGAAUGAGUUUUAUUUUUCACACAAGAUUCCAAUGACAGAUGUGUUUGAAAUUUCUGCAAUAGCCACUGAAGUACCUUUCUCUCAAUUUUCUUUUCUUUAAUCUUUCUCUCAAUGUGUUUGACCAUGACAGUGCCUGUGGUGGCAGAGGUUGCAACAUCUACCAAAAAAUUUUGGCUAUGAAUUUUCUUUGGACAAGAUUGAGUGAAACUGAAAAGGAUUGCCGAUAUGUAUACAAGGAGAUAGCAACCAAAAGUACAAAUUUUGAGAUUAAGAAGUUGACAUGGUGAAAAGGCAAAUGAUGAUAAAUAUGUAGUAACAAAUAUAGCAAAUGGAAUGAAGUGAAGAUUAAAGAGAAGAGAUAGUUAUUAUAUAUGGAAAAAAGUGGUAGAAUAAAUGAGAUGAAUAAAACGGGUGGAAUCAAAGUUGCACCCCUUUGCUAGGGAAUCAAGCACUCUAUGCUCAUUCAACAUCCAGCCGUCGGAAGAUAUUCUAUCAAAGUCAGCAUCAUUAUAUGCUCUAGAAUUCCCACUAUUUAACUUUGGAACUAUCUUGCUUUUCUUUGUUUUUAAUCUUGUGUUGUAAUAUCUGUACCAAACUUGAAUUUUAUGCUUUUUGGAAUGCUUCAUCUUAA